rnacentral:rRNA from 1 species
AGUGAACGCUGGCGGCAGGCCUAACACAUGCAAGUCGAGCGGCAGCGCGGGGGCAACCCUGGCGGCGAGCGGCGGACGGGUGAGGAAUUCGUCGGAAGCUGCCUUUUUGUGGGGGAUGACGUAAGGAAACUAACGCUAAUACCGCAUACGUCCUACGGGAGAAAGUGGGGGACCGCAAGGGCUCACGCAGACAGCUGAGCCGACGACCGAUUAGCUAGUUGGUGAGGUAACGGCCCACCAAGGCGACGAUCGGUAGCUGGUCUGAGAGGCUGAUCGGCCACACUGGGACUGAGACACGGCCCAGACUCCUACGGGAGGCAGCAGUGGGGAAUAUUGGACAAUGGGCGAAAGCCUGAUCCAGCCAUGCCGCGUGUGUGAAGAAGGCCUUCGGGUUGUAAAACACUUUUGUCCGGAAAGAAAAACCUGGAACUAAUCCCUUCGCGGGAUGACGGUACCGGAAGAAUAAGCACCGGCUAACUUCGUG